UCGGUAGAUAAGAGGGCUUUGUUUGGUUCUUGUUUGCAGGGAAUGUCACAAUGCAUCCAAAUAGCCCAGGUAUUGCCCUGUGGAAUGAGGGAGAAAGUACCCUGCCUUCUUUGAAGGGACUCAAUACCCACACUCUCCCUCAUGGAACCAACUACUUUGAAUAUUAGGAUAAACUACAGAGGAAAACUGAGGAAUUUCCUUCAAUUUGAAACUCCUUCCUGGGCAGCCUUUGGCUUUGCCUGUAACAGAUUCAGUUGGCUUCUCUGAGUCAUCUUGCUUCUCUGCUUCUACCUGACAAAGGGGGUAUUUGCUGUCAGUGAAGUGCGCUGAAUCAACGAGGUGUCACUCUUUAUAUGCCACAAACUGGUGAGUCGACAGCAGGUAGCAGUGGUGUGGGGCAGUGAUUUGGCUCACCCUAG
rnacentral:lncRNA from 1 species